rnacentral:rRNA from 1 species
CUACGGGACGCAGCAAUGGGGAAUAUUGCACAAUGGGCGCAAGCCUGAUGCAGCCAUGCCGCGUGUAUGAAGAAGGCCUUCGGGUUGUAAAGUACUUUCAGCGGGGAGGAAGGGAGUAAAGUUAAUACCUUUGCUCAUUGACGUUACCCGCAGAAGAAACACCGGCUAACUCCGUGCCAGCAGCCGCGGUAAUACGGAGGGUGCAAGCGUUAAUCGGAAUUACUGGGCGUAAAGCGCACGCAGGCGGUUUGUUAAGUCAGAUGUGAAAUCCCCGGGCUCAACCUGGGAACUGCAUCUGAUACUGGCAAGCUCGAGUCUCGUAGAGGGGGGUAGAAUUCCAGGUGUAGCGGUGAAAUGCGUAGAGAUCUGGAGGAAUACCGGUGGCGAAGGCGGCCCCCUGGACGAAGACUGACGCUCAGGUGCGAAAGCGUGGGGAGCAAACAGGAUUAGAUACCCUCGUAGUC